UUAAGUGGGGGAUAACAUUUGGAAACAGAUGCUAAUACCGCAUAGAUCCAAGAACCGCAUGGUUCUUGGCUGAAAGAUGGCGUAAGCUAUCGCUUUUGGAUGGACCCGCGGCGUAUUAGCUAGUUGGUGAGGUAAUGGCUCACCAAGGCGAUGAUACGUAGCCGAACUGAGAGGUUGAUCGGCCACAUUGGGACUGAGACACGGCCCAAACUCCUACGGGAGGCAGCAGUAGGGAAUCUUCCACAAUGGACGCAAGUCUGAUGGAGCAACGCCGCGUGAGUGAAGAAGGCUUUCGGGUCGUAAAACUCUGUUGUUGGAGAAGAAUGGUCGGCAGAGUAACUGUUGUCGGCGUGACGGUAUCCAACCAGAAAGCCACGGCUAACUACGUGCCAGCAGCCGCGGUAAUACGUAGGUGGCAAGCGUUAUCCGGAUUUAUUGGGCGUAAAGCGAGCGCAGGCGGUUUUUUAAGUCUGAUGUGAAAGCCCUCGGCUUAACCGAGGAAGCGCAUCGGAAACUGGGAAACUUGAGUGCAGAAGAGGACAGUGGAACUCCAUGUGUAGCGGUGAAAUGCGUAGAUAUAUGGAAGAACACCAGUGGCGAAGGCGGCUGUCUGGUCUGUAACUGACGCUGAGGCUCGAAAGCAUGGGUAGCGAACAGGAUUAGAUACCCUGGUAGUCCAUGCCGUAAACGAUGAAUGCUAGGUGUUGGAGGGUUUCCGCCCUUCAGUGCCGCAGCUAACGCAUUAAGCAUUCCGCCUGGGGAGUACGACCGCAAGGUUGAAACUCAAAGGAAUUGACGGGGGCCCGCACAAGCGGUGGAGCAUGUGGUUUAAUUCGAAGCAACGCGAAGAACCUUACCAGGUCUUGACAUCUUUUGAUCACCUGAGAGA
rnacentral:rRNA from 1 species